UCUUCCUCCUUCACUCCAGGAUAACGCACAUGAUUGGUUUCCAAAUUCCAAAAGAUCCCAAGAUAAUCUUGAAAAUUCAAAUCAUGUGUAUCGAAUUAUAAUCUUCACGUAUGUUAUGGAGCCCUUGAACAGAUUAUGCAAUAAGAAUGUUCCUAUGUAAAUUUAUAUAAACAAAGUAAGAACAUGUUUAUACAAAGAUGCACUAACCACUGUGUGUUGGAAAAAGAGGAAGGUGAACCAGACUGAGCAGUGAAAGAAGUGGAAAACUGUCUUUCAAUACGCCCGCCUCAAAGAUUAUGAUUAUUUAAUUAUGAAUUGAGUUUAUAUACCCUGUUGUACUUCAUACCAACACAAAGAUUGGUAAAUUACUAUUCUGCCCUGCUCUGCUGCUAGAGAUGAAAGAUGAUCUGAGACUACUUUUUUGCUUUAUUCAGGUCCCUCUGAUGCCCCCCCUGUUGCAUACAACUUUCUCAAGAGAAUGGGUGAUUGGUAUGGGGAAGAACUUGUGAAUCAUAUAAUUGUAGAGAUACCUCAGAAAAGAUUUAUCUGAAGGAAACCUACCCAAAAAGCUAUAUGUAUCUUUAAGAUAGGUGAUUGUGCUUCUACCGCUAUUCGCCAAUUUUUUUAAAAAAAAUUGUGAUUUCUAGCAUCAAGAAUGCAUUCUCAUCUGCAUGCCAACUGCUCGACUUAAUGCCAGAUUAAAUUGCUUUGAAAUAGCUGCAACUGUUUGUUUUUUUAAAUUGAAAAUUUGAGUUUAUCGUUAUUCAUGUAAGCAGAUUUAAACAGAAGAACAGUUAAUGAGCGUGUAACUAGAAAUAUUUGCAGCUUAUAGAUGUGUUUUUACUUUUUAUAAAGAAAGAUGUAUUUUGAUGACAUUUUUUCUCUUGCACGCUCUUCAUCCAACGCUUGACCAGGCUAACCUCUUCUAUCACUGGUAAGAAAGUUACAUAUCUUUGUUAAUUUGUUGAUAGAGGUAAAAUUGGAAAUACCAUCUCAUAGGAGGUGAUAAUGACACAACAAAGGCUCUAAAACAAUCUUUGUGAGGUUUAUAUAUGUGAUGUGUUUUGAAUCUGGUGUGAGUUCGCAUGCUACAGUUGCUAUACAUAUGUUCAAACUACAUAAAUUGUUCUUAAUUUGUUAUCUAUUUUGCAGGAACACCUUAAAUCUCUUUUUUGGCGUUUAUAUUUGUUGUGAUAUUUGAAUACCAAGUUUAUAUUCAUGUUAACUGAUUCAAUGGAGGACGGAGUUGAUUCAAUGGAGCAGGGAUUUGACAGAUAUAAAAUCGUGUUUCUUUUCACCUUAAUAUAAACAAACGGGUUUGAUGGGUUAACUGAUAGAAAAAUGUCUUUAUUCAUUAAGACUUUAUUUUUUCAAAGCUAUCCUUUAACCUAACUCUUUGAGACUUAUCUAUUAAACAUGUUAAAUCUUGGGUUUGAAAGGUGUAUGAACAGUUUCCUGUGUCGGAAAUGAAGAACCUGGCAUCAACCAAGAAUUCCUCCAUUUGAAGACGAAAACUGCACCAUCGAUAGUUACUGCAAUCAGUACAGUCUUUAAUGCUUGCUCGUUGUGAGUCCCGAUCUAAGAUGGUAGCAUGAUCCAGUGUCCAUGUAUAAACAUUCAAGUAUUAAAGCUGAUGGACAUAUAUGUCAAUUAACUAUAAAAUGCCAUUGAAGGAUGAAAAAACAUCGUGGAAUAAUCAACACCCUUAAUAAAGAUUGAUGGUUAAUUUGCA